GACGAACGCUGGCGGCGUGCUUAACACAUGCAAGUCGAACGGUGACGGAGAGCUUGCUCUCCUGAUCAGUGGCGAACGGGUGAGUAACACGUGGGCAACCUGCCCAGACUUCGGGAUAACGCUUCGAAAGAGGUGCUAAUACCGAAUACGAACGCCGUGGGCAUCCACGGUGUUGGAAAGUUUUUCGGUCUGGGAUGGGCCCGCGGCCUAUCAGCUUGUUGGUGAGGUAAUGGCUCACCAAGGCGACGACGGGUAGCCGGCCUGAGAGGGCGACCGGCCACACUGGGACUGAGACACGGCCCAGACUCCUACGGGAGGCAGCAGUGGGAAUAUUGCGCAAUGGGCGAAAGCCUGACGCAGCAACGCCGCGUGGGGGAUGAAGG
rnacentral:rRNA from 1 species